rnacentral:rRNA from 1 species
UACGUAGGCAGCGAGCGUUGUUCGGAGUUACUGGGCGUAAAGAGUGCGUAGGCGGUUUUCUAAGUUUGGUGUGAAAUCUCCCGGCUCAACCGGGGAACUGCGUCUGAUACUGGCGGGCUUGAAUUCGGGAGAGGGAUGUGGAAUUCCAGGUGUAGCGGUGAAAUGCGUAGAUAUCUGGAGGAACACCGGUGGCGAAGGCGGCAUCCUGGACCGACAUUGACGCUGAGGCGCGAAAGCCAGGGGAGCAAACGGG